GAUGAACGCUGGCGGCGUGCCUAAUACAUGCAAGUCGAGCGAACGGACGAGAAGCUUGCUUCUCUGAUGUUAGCGGCGGACGGGUGAGUAACACGUGGAUAACCUACCUAUAAGACUGGGAUAACUUCGGGAAACCGGAGCUAAUACCGGAUAAUAUUUUGAACCGCAUGGUUCAAAAGUGAAAGACGGUCUUGCUGUCACUUAUAGCUGGAUCCGCGCUGCAUUAGCUAGUUGGUAAGGUAACGGCUUACCAAGGCAACGAUGCAUAGCCGACCUGAGAGGGUGAUCGGCCACCCUGGAACUGAGACACGGUCCAGACUCCUACGGGAGGCAGCAGUAGGGAAUCUUCCGCAAUGGGCGAAAGCCUGACGGAGCAACGCCGCGUGAGUGAUGAAGGUCUUCGGAUCGUAAAACUCUGUUAUUAGGGAAGAACAUAUGUGUAAGUAACUGUGCACAUCUUGACGGUACCUAAUCAGAAAGCCACGGCUAACUACGUG
rnacentral:rRNA from 1 species